UGAGGAAUAUUGGUCAAUGGGCGGAAGCCUGAACCAGCCAUCCCGCGUGCAGGAAGACAGCCCUAUGGGUUGUAAACUGCUUUUCCAGUGGGCGAAACACUCGUACGUGUACGAGAUUGACGGUACACUGGGAAUAAGCAUCGGCUAACUCCGUGCCAGCAGCCGCGGUCAUACGGAGGAUGCAAGCGUUAUCCGGAUUUAUUGGGUUUAAAGUGUGCGUAGGCGGAUGAAUAAGUCAGUGGUGAAAGGCUGCAGCUUAACUGUAGACUUGACGUUGAUACUGUGUAUCUUGAGUAUGGUAAAGGCAGGCGGAAUGUGUAAUGUAGCGGUGAAAUGCUUAGAUAUUACACAGAACACCGAUUGCGAAGGCAGCUUGCUGGGCCAUUACUGACGCUGAUGCACGAAAGCGUGGGGAGCGAACAG
rnacentral:rRNA from 1 species